AAACCAACAGGGAUUGCCUUAGUAACGGCGAGUGAAGCGGCAAAAGCUCAAAUUUGAAAUCUGGCACCUUCGGUGUCCGAGUUGUAAUUUGUAGAAGGUAACUUUGGAAUUGGCUCUUGUCUAUGUUCCUUGGAACAGGACGUCACAGAGGGUGAGAAUCCCGUGCGAUGAGGUGCCCAAUUCUAUGUAAAGUGCUUUCGAAGAGUCGAGUUGUUUGGGAAUGCAGCUCUAAGUGGGUGGUAAAUUCCAUCUAAAGCUAAAUAUUGGCGAGAGACCGAUAGCGAACAAGUACAGUGAUGGAAAGAUGAAAAGAACUUUGAAAAGAGAGUGAAAAAGUACGUGAAAUUGUUGAAAGGGAAGGGCUUGAGAUCAGACUUGGUAUUUUGCGUUCCUUCCCCUCGUGGGUUGGUUCCUCGCAGCUUACCGGGCCAGCAUCGGUUUGGAUGGUAGGAUAAUGACAUUGGAAUGUGACACUACUUCGGUGGUGUGUUAUAGCCUUUGUUGAUACUGCCUGUCUAGACCGAGGACU
rnacentral:rRNA from 1 species